rnacentral:lncRNA from 13 species
ACCACAUGGGUCCAGGGCCCACAUAUAGACUGAGUACUAAAUAAAUUGCCCUUCCCAGCCAUGGACAGCCAGUCAUUACUGAGGGUGGUAUGGCCCAGUCAUUACUGAGGGUGGUAUGUUCUUCCUAAUGGAAGAACACUGAAUGCUAAGCUUGAAGGCCUAGCUUUGAGGUUGGUUCUGAGACUCAUUCACAGUGUGAUAUUGAGCUUCUCUGGACCUCAGGUUCCAUCUGUAGAGUGAGUGGUGAAUGGAAGAGAUGAUCUCUAUUUUCCAUAACUCUGUUAAACACUUACCGUGCACUGAAUAUGGACAUUUGAGUCUUUAUCAAGGGUCUAAUCCACUGAGCCCUCAGAGUGGCUACAGGUGCCUGCCUGAGGGCAACUGAGAUGGGCUCAGCUGGACCCAAGGCUCUGCCUGUGAGUAGGAAGAUGAGUUUGGGUGUGUCAGCUAAAGGGCUCUGAAUACCAGGAAGGGAACAUGGAACUGACUUAAUAUUGGGGGGAGUAGUUGUUGCUCCCUUUGGGCAAAGGACAGGAGACUGGGGUGAGGGAUGAUGUGAGGGGUGAUAGAAAGAGGACCUGUGCCUGAGACACUACUCGGGUGCCUGCUUGAUGUAGGACGCCUGGCUUUCAUGAGCCAAGGGUCUGUACCAGCAUGAAUGGCAGUGGGAUUGAAGAAGGGAGAAGUUCUGGAAACAUCUUAAAAGAAGAAUGUUUGGGAUUCCUAGAGACUUCAGCAUGUAGCCGGGAGGACAAAAGGAAGCACAGAUGGCUCAGAAGCUUGAUCUUGGGGUUGACAGUUAACACUGAAGAUCAGAGAACUCGGGCAACUUUCCUGAGACAGCACAGCAGCUGA